rnacentral:rRNA from 1 species
GGACCCGCACAAGUAGUGGAGCAUGUGGUUUAAUUCGAAGAUACGCGCAGAACCUUACCAACACUUGACAUGUUCGUCGCGACUCUAAGAGAUUAGAGUUUUCGGUUCGGCCGGACGAAACACAGGUGCUGCAUGGCUGUCGUCAGCUCGUGUCGUGAGAUGUUGGGUUAAGUCCCGCAACGAGCGCAACCCUCACUUUUAGUUGCCAUCAUUUAGUUGGGCACUCUGAAAGAACUGCCAGUGAUAAGCUGGAGGAAGGUGGGGAUGACGUCAAGUCCUCAUGGCCCUUACGUGUUGGGCUACACACGUGCUACAAUGGCAUCUACAACAGGAAGCAAGACAGCGAUGUUAAGCAAAUCCUUAAAAGAUGCCUCAGUUCGGAUUGCACUCUGCAACUCGAGUGCAUG